AAUUUUUUUUUUUUUUUUUGGUUGUUAAGGGAUGUGAAACUGUUGCAAUUGUUUGUGUUGAAUAAGGGAAAAUUGAAGUUGGUGAAGAAUUUUAGAUUUUGGGGUUAAUUUAGAUAAAUCGUCCCCCCCAACCGAAAAAAAAACUGUCUUUCCCUGUUAUGUCUUUUCUUGUAGUCUGUAUUACCUGGAAGCAUCCCUGAGCAGAUAAUGUACUUUAUUAUUCAUUUUAAUAUUAACCAUUAAUUUUGGGUUUUUGGCGCUUUCAGUUUAGAUUGGAUUGAUAUUUGUCUAAGGAUUUAGUUUUAUUUUUCAUUAGUGAUCGACAAGAAAGAGAGAGAGAGAGAGCCUAACAUUGACUAGUGAAAUCUCAGUUUUCAUUGAGUCCAGCAUUUUAGCCGCCCAACUGGUGCUCACUACCAUUGUCUCUGCUUUCAACUCUUGGUUCUUUGAGUUUUCUUUUAUUAAUCAUCUGAUGGAAAUCUCUUUUUCCUCCCAUCCAAGGGUUGAUCCAUGCUGAUUUUGAAACCCCAACCAGUCCCCUAUAACGUUUAACAUUUUUCUUAUCUUCUCUUUCUCUUCUCUGUCCUUUUGGUGUUGAAAUUGACAGUUUUGUGGUGCAGUUAAUGGGUGUGUUGCAGUUACUGCUAACGAAGUGGAGGCAUUUGAUCAGCUCUAUAAGAAGUUGGGUUGUUCAUAAUCGAUGAUGGAUUGAUUCAUAAGGAAUGAAAGUUGAUUUUGAUAUGGAUUGGGUCAUACGGAGGAGGUUUGGACUUACCAUGGUCUCUCUUCACCAAA
rnacentral:misc_RNA from 1 species